GGUGAAUUUGAUCGCUCACAAGACAUUCACAAGAUGAUAUGUCUUCAGUGACUAAAGAUAAUAGUUCAUCAAAUGUACUUAUACUCAUACGGAAGUAGUUGAAAAACUUGUUAGGGUAUUCCCUUAAUUUUGGAUAUAGCGUCACAAAUGAACCCAUGGUUAACCGGUCAUCUAUUAGAGGAUGAACCCACCAUUCCAUGUGUUCGCACUUAGUACGUGGGUCCAACUGCCGGAUGCCUGCUGUCAUGAAAACGUCGACAAAGCGCGCGGUUGACGCACUCAUGUGUACGGUAUCACAAUUUCCAACGCGCGACAAACGCGGCGCUUACCGAGCGACAAACUUCGUCAUGUGUACAGGCCCUUAGUGCCACCGAUAAUCGGUGAAAACGGUUAUUGGUGCCAGAACUUGGAUUGUUUGGGUCUGAACUGUGUCAAUGAAACUGAAUUGAUCACAGUUUGGUAUAAUGUAAGCAGAUGCAGCACCAGAUAUCCACUUACCGGUACUUGAAAAACUGCAACAUAAAGAUUAUGCAUCCAAAUUUGCAGUGAUUUUAGUGGGUCACUAUUAAAAUGUGACCAAAAACAUACUCUAGAUCUUGUUAGAAGAAUUGUUAGCUUCAAAGAUAGAUCGGAGUGUUACUUAUGCCGUUAUAUUGAUGAAAAAGUCAAUUCAAUAACUCACAAUUCCUCGUUAGGAGAACAAAAAUGUUUUUGUUGACAGAAAAACACAGGGUCAUUAUCGAAAGUAGACUAUAAACUAUAGUGAGAUUCAAAAAGGGAUGGAAAAUACUUGACAUAUAUUAAAUAAUUUUUUUAAGAUCAAAAAGAAGCCUCUAGUAGGAUAAGCCUAUUAUGAUGCAUUUCCAAAACUUAUAAUAGCCUAGGUUAAAUAUAAAUACAUUGAUGAAAAUUUUACUAACUUAAAUAGCAUUGACAUUUUUCAAUUUAACUUAUACUUGAUUGAAAUUUGUCUAGGUUUAUUGAUUUUCCUACAGAUCAAGCAAAUUUUAGUUUAUCAACUUGUGCUUGAUAAAUUCUUAAACAACAAAAAAAGUAAAAAGUAAAUAAGGAGUUUUUUUAUUAGAAAAUAACAAAAGGAUAUUUGCAAAAAGCCUGACUACUACAUUGGAGAUUUAGGCCUAGAGAUCUUAAAAUAAUUAUGCUUAAUAACGCUUAUUAAGCUAUAAGUACUUGGAAAUAAUUAAAAACUAAUUAUUGUUCGUUAUGGUAAUUCUUGCAGCAGCUGUGUAAACAUAGCUAAGAUUAAUCUGAAUGAACUUACAACAUAAUAAAUAAGGUACCAUAACCUUGAAAAACUCCAAAGUAAAAAUUAUUUACCUUCGGCUUGAGAAGAAGAAUUAUUGAAGAGGUGCCCCGCACCGGAUAAUCCAACCAUCAUGUUAGCGCUUUUGUUUCAUUAGAAACAAAUAAUUGCUGUUUAGCAUUUAUAAACACAAAACAUCAACCAUUAAACGUAUUUCUUUUACGAAAGGCAUUGCAUCAGGACGUUGAUCUUGAAUAUCCACUCUUGUAGGGACGUUCCGACAAAAAUUUUUGUUUACUGAUAUCUUUUAAAUUGAAUAGAAUAAAAGUUUACAUUUUCUAUAACAAUAUCAAUUCAAAUAUUCAAAUCUACUUUCACACAAUUUUAAGUACAAUAUUCAAUAUCCAAAAUUAAUAGCUGAGUUUAUAUAUUUAUAUUUAUGUAAUGAAUUUCUCAGCCAAUCCAAUCCAAUUGCCAAAGCCGGAAACGCAUUUUAACAGCUGUUGUUUUUCUGGACAAUGGAGUUUGGAUCAGUUGAUGAAUCUACACCAUGUGGAUACACCCAUUUUCAGAACACACAGUAGCCGUUCUUUAGUUGUACGAUUGUGCAGUUAUUCGAUAAGUGUUGCUCAGUUGUACAUUUGUAACGAGCUUUUCUAUUGCUGAUUGAAACAGGUAUAAUUUGCUGUAAAAUUAUGAAAGUCAGUAACGGUUGUUACUGCAAACCUAAUUUGAAACUUGAACAUAACCCUCAUCAAAUACUUGUAUCUUUGAUGGAAUACUCUCUUCAAAGUGGGUUUCUUUAAGGGAAAAAUGUUUAAAUACCCACGAUUUGGUGCGAUAUCCAGUUAAAAUAUACCAGUUGUACUGUAUUUUACACAUAGAUGGCGGCGUCACAGACAAAUUUAAUUUUUAAAAAAUUAUUUGUACUUUUUUCAGCCCUACAGCCGUUGUGGGCUUUAGCCUGUUGCACAACAUUCCUCUAAGCAUCUCUAUCUACCACAAAUCUUCUCCAUCCUCUAUAGCCCAUCCUAAUGAAAUCAUUCCUAAUCUCACCUUCCCAUCGUAUUUUUGAUCUGCUAGUAAUUCUAUUGUUUCAGGAAAUAAUCAUGUUAUAGUAGCUAUAAUUGAAUAGCUCCAGUCAUUAGAUGGCAUGAUCAGAUGAACGUAAUGUGAAGGACCUUUGAAAUGUGUUAUCUGAGUUUGGAUGCAGAAUACAUCACAUCCCUGUAACAAGGAAAACCCCCACUACUGUAUCCAGCAUUGAUGGGUGUUACACAACUAUCAAACAAGAGGAGAUCGAGGUAAAAGCACAUUAUACACCACUGACAGACCACCAUUUGUUGCUAUGCAAAAUAAAAAAUAGAAGUAAAAGUUGCCACACAACCUACAGAUACUCUAGGAAUGUCUCAAGAAACAAAUUAACUGAACUAAAGCAUAUGUUAAAUACAACCAAUUGGGAGUCUGUCUAUAAACCAAAGUCUGUUGAAGUAAAAUAUAAUAACUCUCUACAAAUAAUGCGCCAGAGCCUUGACCACAUUAUGCCUCUAAAAUGAAUGUACCAAAUAAAAUUAUUUUUAUGGAUUGUGAGUUGCAGAGGAUGAAAGCCUCUCUUCAGAGUUUACAUGACAGAUUUGCUGACAGGAUCAACCGAAGACAAAGACAGGUUUCAAGAGUCAAAGAAAACCUAUGACAUUGAAGUGAAGAGGAAGAGAAUGGAUCACACAAUGAACAAAAUAAAAAAACUCAAAAGACAAAACCAAAGAGCUGUGGAAAACUGUGAAUGGUGAAAGAAAUAAGCAAGAUGGAAGGCCGUAACAGCAUAAGGCCUCUUCUGGAUGGUAAUCUGACAGCGGAUGCACUUGAAAUCAGCAAUAUUUUCAAUGGCAUCUUCACCUCACCUCAAGUAUCAAACCACACAAAUCAAUCACAAACCAGUACCACAUCUGAAGCUGAGCCCGACAAUGGUAUAUCAACUUUCUCAACCUUAAAAAAUGUCACACAUCACGAAAUGGAUGAACUUCUUAAUAAUUUGAAGUCUAACAAUUUGACAGGCUUUGAUGAAAUCUCUGGGAAGAUGCUGAAAUUCUACAAAGAAGAAGUCAUAAAACCUAGAUUGACCCACAUCAUCAACACCUCAUUGAGUCAAUCUAUUUUGCCUAGUACGAUGAAGUUUUCCAAAGUGUAUCCAGUUUUCAAGAAAGGAGACAAGCUUAAUCCAAGUAACUACAGACCAAUAUCAAAUUUGCCUGGAACUUCAAAGCUGACUGAGCGGGUGGUGUACAAAUAGCACAUCUGGAAAAAAAUGAACUGAUUUCAUAAUUUCAACAUGGUUUUAGGAAGGGGCGAAGUACAAACACAGCAAUAGCAUAUCUCUGCAGGGUGAUAAAUGAGAUCUGGGAGGAAAAGAGGAUAGCAUCAGGCCUGUUCCUAGACUUGCAGAAGGCAUUUGACAACUGAGACCAAGAUUAAAUCCUAAUCAAAAAAUUGAAACAGCUAAACAUUCAGGGACAAGUCAUAGAAUGGAUCCAAAACUAUUCCACUGAAAGGUAUCAGUAUGUUGAAAUCAGUUAUCAGCAGAACACAGCCUUGACUAGUGCCAAAUCAUCUCUUUGCAAAAUAUCCAAAGGUGUUCCUCAAGGGACAAUCCUAGGACCCUUGUUCUUUCUCAUUUACUUAAAUGACUUCCCAAAUAAUCUCAAGAAGGACCAAAAAUGUGUACCAUUUGCAGAUGAUACCACCAUAAUAAUCCCAUCAGGCAGAGAAUCCGAAAGCAACGAUAUAAGCUCGACACUUGAAAUGGCCACAAAUAUAUGUAGGAAACUGAAGCUAUCAUUCAAUAAAGACAAGACAGUAAAUAUAAACUUCACUCCAAAGGGACAAAUAUUCAAUAUAGACGACAAUGUAACCAAUGAACCAACAAAUACAAAGGAUUGUACAAGAUUUCUUGGUAUCAUGAUGGACAAGAACCUGAACUGGAGUGAACAUAUUGACCUUUUGUGUAAGAAAUUAGCUUCAGCCACAUAUGUACGUCGCUCAUAGAAUAAGAUGUACCACUGAUGUCAGUACCACAUUUAUCGCCUAUCAUGCCCUAUUUGCCUCACAGCUGCGAUAUGGCAUUGUUGCCUGGGGAGCAUCAGCACAGGUGCACAUGGACAGAGUCCUACAAAGUUAGAAAAAAACCUUACAAACCAUCCUAAGAAGAGAUGCACUGGAGCAUUGUAGACCAUUAUUUGUCAAAAACAAACUGCUUACAGUGAUCUCAAUCUACAUACUUGAAACCAUGUCCGAAUCUCAGAAAUAGCCAUCACACGCAUAAGACAGCAAGCUGAACAUUGACCUUCCGCAACACAGGCUCGGCAAAUUCAAGAACAACUUAUGCAGGCUCACAUUUCUUCAACUAUCUACCGGACAGCCUAAAGAAUUUGAGGGAUUCACGGACAACAUUCCACAGAAAGCUGAAAAAUACCUCAUUGCAAGAUCGUACUAUGCAGUGACCGAAUUUAUUGAGGAGCAUAUGUACCACCACCUUAGAGUAUAGUGCAAGAUCCUCUAUACACCUUCUUGACGACUCUGACAGAGGAGACCAUCCAUUGACGAUUCCCCGAUUCCAGGACCGUGAGGAAGACAUCAGAAGAAAGAAGUAGGAAACACUUCAAAAGCUGCGCCACAGUAGCCGCGAGAUUGACUCCCGACGAGCGACAACCGCAACCGCUUGAACCAACAAGGCUUAGGAAGUUUAUUGAAUAACCUCUUUCCAAAUUCAACAAAAUUUAACAAUUUUAAAUGGUGAAGAAGAGAAGACAAAAUUGAAAAAUGAAAUGUUAUUGUUGCAGAAGAAAGAUGGUGAUUUUAGAAGGAAAAUAAAAAGUCAGAAUGAGAAGAUCAGUAAGUUAAAAUUGGAUGAGCAUAGUCUAGCUGAUGAAAGAAAGCUUUUUAGAUCGAUGGAGGAGAAAAACCUUCAAAAUAAAUCCAACAAAGAAGAUGAGCUGCUGAAACUAGUGAAAAAACUGGAUCUGGAAGGAAGAAGUUACUCACUGAUGAAAUUUCAAGGUUAAGCUUAUCAAUUGAAAAAUUGAAAGAAAGAGAAGCUGGAGUGUUGAAUGCUCAAUCUCGAAGGGCUGAGCUGAAAUAUGAACCAGUAAACGGAGAUGAGUAUACUAGUUUGCAGAAUGAGCUGAAAGAUCUUCGUAAUGAUAUUCUAACAAUCACAAAUGAAAUAUCGACUUUGGAGAGAAGAAAUAGUACAGUGGCAAUGGAUGUUGAUGUGUGUCUAAAUAUCGGCUCAAAGAAUAAAAGAAGCGAUCAGCUCGAGGACGGUUGUCAAUCACCUUGCAGCACUCAUUCAACAGAUUCUGUUGUCAGCACUUCAGCAUUCAACCAGUAUCGCGAGAACGCCGAACAACAAACAAUAAAAGGACACAGACUAGAACAGGAGAAUCGUCAGGGAAAGUUCAAGCAUAAAAUGUUUUUGGAGAAAUCAUUAACACAGGAGCAUAAAACUCAGGAAUCGAUCACGCCAAAGGUAGCGAGUAAAUCUCAAACAUUCGUCUUCAAACCUCCCAAGUACUUCAAGCAGAGUCAACCGAAGUGAGUUUAGUUUAUACAGUACUCGCAAAAUGAAAAUAUGGAGCAUAUUUUUAUGAGUGAUGUAUUACCAAGACUUUCAUACUGAAUUGAUUCAAAAGGAGGCCUCUAUUAUCAUGUUACGACUCUGCAUUUAAAGCAUGUUAAAAAUGAUGGAGAAUUAUCCAAUAGCAUACUAUAGUUGUGAUAAAUGUUUUUUGAUCCCUCAUCACUCUGACAUCUAUGAUAUUUAAUAUUAAAGAUCAAUAAUAUUUAUAGAAUGAGAGUCAUCUUUCCCAUUCAAUUCAGUUAGGUUCAGAUGAAGCUUGCAUAAACAAACACAGCGAUGUUUGAAUUUUCCUCUCAGAUUCGAUGAAUAAUUAAUUCUUUUAUUAUUCUUAUAAAUUAUAAAUCGAUUAUAAAGUUUAAACUCAAAAGUUGAAGUACCAGCAGGGUAGGAGAUAGCUUGUUGAAAUUCAUUAACUCAUAGAAUAUGUGAAUUUAUUCUUUCUCAAAUCUUUUUCUCCUGGUUGCUUCUAAUCUUUUUCUCAAAUCCAUCAAUUCUUUAUCCUCCUCAAUAAUUUUUUUCGGGCGUGACAAUGUCUUUUGUGCUUGCUCUCUUGAAAGUUUUCUGAAAUGAUUCGAUUUAAGUAACUUUAAUAACUCCUACUAAGUUAUACUUUCUUGGUAAAAAAUAAAGUAAUAACAUUAGAUAAGCUAUAGUUAAAAUAGUCAAGAAUCAUUCUGUAGUAUGAACAUCAAAAUAAUAUGAGGUAUCAUUUUUUCAAGAUAAACUUUUUGAUUUUGUAUGUAUUAUAUUUAUUGUAUUGAAGUGAAUGUAUUAUGUGUAUUAUAAAAAGUAUUAUCAAGAAGGCUUAACACACUACCAUUGACUGAAGUGUUGGAACUUAUGAUACUUCAAUAAGAUAUGAAGAAUUCAACAGUGGCCCAAAUUAUGCUAUUGAUAGGCUACUAAUGAAAAUUAGGAUUAAUAUUUUUCUUGUGUCUGAGAUAAUAAACUUUUGUAUUUUAAUAAGAAUUUUUUUAUUUCGAAGUCUGAUGAUACAUUUGAAAUCAACAAAUUAUCAUCCACAAACCGUUCGUGAUGUGUGACAUCAAUUAAUGUCUCCAUCUCUUUGAGCAUUUCCUGUUGUCGAAUCUUUUCUUGUUUAAUUCGUAGUUGCCUUUGUUCAAGUUGUUCCUUCAUUUCCUCUCUCAACAAUGCCAAACGCUCAGUCAACUGUAAUACAGUAUCAAGAGAAAAGUAUUCUAUGGAAAAAUUGGAAUUAUUAAUUUUAUUGAAUAUAUUAUUGACCCCUGAAUAGGAAUGGAACAUAACAUUUUUAUGAUAAAAUAAAAUAAAUUACAGAUGCACUUAUCAUGAUAUUCAUGAAUUAGGUUUAUUAUUACUGCUGAGUUUACUGAAGUAAACAUUGUUAUUAUGUCUUCAACUUUCUAUUAAAAAAUAUUAGUCACUUAGAAAUUAGUUUGGCAACCGUUCUGCAAUUGUAUGUUAGUUCUAGUUAGGUAAAUGUGUUCGGUAGCUGAACCAUUUACAUAUUCGAUCAUUGAACUAAAUUUUAUAACGUUUUUCAGCCAUUUUUAUUACAUUUUCACUUUGAAAUUAUAUUAUGUAGGCUCACCAAUUUCGAAUUUUCAAACGAGAAAAAGAUUGACAUACUGCAAAAGGUACUGUAUAGUGUAAUUUACAGAUUUGAAUGUAUCAGAAUAGAUUCGUAUCUAAUGACAUCUUACCUCAAGAUAGGACAUUUCACAAAAUAAACCCAUGUUCAUGGUUUCAGUUGCAUCAAAAUCUUUCUUUGGUAUGAUACGCAAUGACUGAAGAAGUCUUAUCUCCUUGAUCAUGACCAUUUUCUUAUUAAGCUCAUCUUGUUGCUUGAAUUUGAUUGGAACAUUGAAAGAAAAAUAAAUGAAUGAGAAAUCAAGCAUGAAUUUGUAUUAGCGAAUAAACUUAUUAUAGUGAUGUAGACGAUUGGUGAAAUAUUUAAUACCGUGAUAAUAAUGCUUACCAAAUAGAUGAUCAUUUUUCAUCAAAAAUAUAUUCUUUUCUUUGCUGAGGGUGAUGCCCACAUCAGCUCUAGGCUUGUGCGUGAGUAAUGCGGAUGGUAAUAAGAGAUAAUGGACAUACCGUUUUAGGUGUCGUUCGUACUACCGGGAAGGGAUUUUUCAAUUCAUGAAUCAUAUUCAUAAGAGUUGGCUCAAGUGGUCAUCCUCCCAACGUGAAUGUUAGGCGCAUGAUUAUUAGAACUUAACUCGGGCAGCGUGACUAGAGUCGUCGCGGCUGGAGUAUCUCGAGUCGUCGCUAAAGCUACGUUCACAUUGGUCAAGUUCCCUUCAAUUCAAGUUGUUGACGUUUGAGUUGAAUGAGCGAUUUUGAAAGCUUGUCAAGUUUACCUCAAUAAUUCAAGUUUUCUCCUUCAUCUGCAUCAUACUCUCUUAUUUAGUUGUUUUUAUAUAUUCUACGUUGACUGACAACUGUUCUGUCUCAUUUUACAAUUUGUAGGUUGGAUUGUACCUUCAAGAUUCAAGUUUAAUCUAAAAGUCAAACUUCUUCAACAUCCACUUGAAUCAACUAUACUAUCUAUCAUUGAUUAUAGCGGAUCCAAAUUUCUGUCCUUGUGAACUUGAGUUUGCAAAACAAAUUCAUUUUACACAAACGUCAAGAAAACUUGAAUUCAAGGAAACUUGACUUAUGUAAACACCCCUUGAGGAGUUGCACCUAUAGCUUAUGAGCGCGACCACUGAGUUAAACCGCUUCCCUAUACUGAAACUACAAUUAUGAUAAUAAAUCUAUCAUUUCCAAAUAAUUCACCAGAAUCGAACAUACAUCAGCUUCUUAGAAAUUGUAAUGUUAAACGGGUAUUCUUUAUUGAAGUUCAUUACAGAUAACAGUAAAAAUUAUUCCAAAAUAUUCUAUGAUUUGUUUCGAUUUCAUAAAUGUGAUUUUUCCUUAGGCUAUGCAGGCUUUAAGUAUAAAGUAUUCAUUAAUAUAAUGAAUUUCGAUUGAACUUAUAUACCGAAUGUGUGCUGGGAAAUAUUGUUUUAGCAAAGUGUUGUUGUUAGGCUAUUUGCUUUUACAAUAGGCAUUAGAGUCAUUGUUAGUUUAUGUGUUGAACAAUAAAAAUAUAUUUUCAAACUUUUGGGAGCCUGGUAUUCGAGAUAAUAUAAAUCAUUAAUAUUUUUUUCAACUCUUUACUCUUUGAUUUACGCAAUGAAAUAAGAUUUC
rnacentral:misc_RNA from 1 species